rnacentral:rRNA from 1 species
GGCGGCGUGCCUAACACAUGCAAGUUGCACGAGAAAGGGGCUUCGGCCCUGAGUACAGUGGCGCACGGGUGAGUAACACGUGAAUAAUCUACCUCCGAGUGGGGAAUAACUGAGAGAAAUCUUAGCUAAUACCGCAUAACACUUACGAGUCAAAGCAGCAAUGCGCUUGGAGAGGAGUUCGCGGCCGAUUAGUUAGUUGGCGGGGUAAUGGCCCACCAAGACGAUGAUCGGUAUCCGGCCUGAGAGGGCGCACGGACACACUGGAACUGAAACACGGUCCAGACUCCUACGGGAGGCAGCAGUGGGGAAUUUUGCGCAAUGGGGGAAACCCUGACGCAGCAACGCCGCGUGGAGGAUGAAGUAUCUUGGUACGUAAACUCCUUUCGAUUGGGAAGAUAAUGACGGUACCAAUAGAAGAAGCCCCGGCUAACUUCGUGCCAGCAGCCGCGGUAAUACGAAGGGGGCAAGCGUUGUUCGGAUUUAUUGGGCGUAAAGGGUGCGU